rnacentral:rRNA from 1 species
CCUACGGGAGGCAGCAGUGAGGAAUAUUGGUCAAUGGGCGGGAGCCUGAACCAGCCAAGUCGCGUGAGGGAAGACGGUCCUAUGGAUUGUAAACCUCUUUAGGCGGGGAGCAAUGCCGGGUACGCGUGCCAGGAGGGAGAGUACCCGCCGAAUAAGCAUCGGCUAACUCGGUGCCGGCAGCCGCGGUACUAGGGAGGAUGCGAGCGUUAUCCGGAUUUGUUGGGUUUAAAGGGUGCGAGGGCGGAUUUUUAAUUCGGCGGUAAAAGGUCCGGGUUCACCACGGACCGGCCGUUGAAACUGGGGAGCUUGAGUGGGGGAGAGGUAAGCGGAAUGCGUGGUGUAGCGGUGAAAUGCAUAGAGAUCACGAAGAACUCCGAUUGCGAAGGCAGCAUACCGGCGUCCGACUGACGCUGAGGCACGAAAGCGUGGGGAGCGAACAGGAUUAGAUACCCCAGUAGUC